rnacentral:rRNA from 1 species
UCCGUAGGUGAACUUGCGGAGGGAUCAUUA